UACGGAGGAUGCAAGCGUUAUCCGGAUUUAUUGGGUUUAAAGGGUGCGCAGGUGGUUUAAUAAGUCAGUGGUGAAAGUCUGCCGCUUAACGGUAGGAUUGCCAUUGAUACUGUUGGACUUGAAUAUGGAUGAGGUAGGCGGAAUGUGUAGUGUAGCGGUGAAAUGCUUAGAUAUUACACAGAACACCGAUGGCGAAGGCAGCUUACUAAUCCAUGAUUGACGCUGAGGCACGAAAGCGUGGGGAUCAAACAGG
rnacentral:rRNA from 1 species